AAUCUUAUUAAGGGACUUCUUCCAGAAUUAUUGCCACUUCUCUAUGAUCAAACAGUUGUCAAGAAGGAAUUGAUACGAACUGUUGAUCUUGGGCCUUUCAAGCAUGUUGUGGAUGAUGGACUUGAGUUGAGGAAAGCAGCUUUUGAAUGUGUAGACACAUUGUUGGAUAGUUGUCUUGAUCAAGUAAAUCCAUCAUCUUUCAUUGUUCCAUACCUCAAAUCUGGUCUUGAUGAUCAUUAUGAUGUUAAAAUGCCUUGCCAUCUUAUCCUCUCCAAACUUGCAGAUAAAUGUCCUUCUGCUGUUUUGGCAGUUCUGGACUCUUUGGUUGAUCCACUCCAAAAAACCAUCAAUUUUAAGCCAAAGCAAGAUGCUGUCAAGCAAGAAGUAGAUCGUAAUGAAGACAUGAUUCGCAGUGCUCUUCGAGCAAUUGCUACCUUGAAUCGCUUCCACUUAUGCGAUUCUCAAAAGCCUUACGAAUGAAAUUUCAAAAUCUCCUGCACUCUGGGGCAAGUACUAUUCCAUCCGUAAUGAGUGAUGGGCAUGUUGAUUUUGAUACGGAGUGGUGGUAGUGAAAUUUUCGGUACGAGGGAACGAGAAAUAUUGAUGCUUUGAUCUUGUGCUGUACAAGGUCCUCUGGGAGGAAAAGAAACUGGAGAGACUAUAGCCCCAGUUACAGGUGUAUAAUGGGAGGGAUUAAGAAUGGUAAAUUUUUGGUUGAAGAAGCUCAUAAGGAUUACAUGACCAUUUCUUGUCAUGCAAAUGCAAAUGCAGGCCUUGGAUUUUUUUAUGUAUAGGAUCAAAUGCUGUCUCUUA
rnacentral:misc_RNA from 1 species